rnacentral:rRNA from 1 species
GAAAGGAAGAUUAAUACAAGAUGGCAUCAUGAGUCCGCAUGUUCACAUGAUUAAAGGUAUUCCGGUAGACGAUGGGGAUGCGUUCCAUUAGAUAGUAGGCGGGGUAACGGCCCACCUAGUCUUCGAUGGAUAGGGGUUCUGAGAGGAAGGUCCCCCACAUUGGAACUGAGACACGGUCCAAACUCCUACGGGAGGCAGCAGUGAGGAAUAUUGGUCAAUGGGCGAGAGCCUGAACCAGCCAAGUAGCGUGAAGGAUGACUGCCCUAUGGGUUGUAAACUUCUUUUAUAAAGGAAUAAAGUCGGGUAUGGAUACCCGUUUGCAUGUACUUUAUGAAUAAGGAUCGGCUAACUCCGUGCCAGCAGCCGCGGUAAUACGGAGGAUCCGAGCGUUAUCCGGAUUUAUUGGGUUUAAAGGGAGCGUAGAUGGAUGUUUAAGUCAGUUGUGAAAGUUUGCGGCUCAACCGUAAAAUUGCAGUUGAUACUGGAUAUCUUGAGUGCAGUUGAGGCAGGCGGAAUUCGUGGUGCAGCGGUGAAAUGCUUAGAUAUCACGAAGAACUCCGAUUGCGAAGGCAGCCUGCUAAGCUGCAACUGACAUUGAGGCUCGAAAGUGUGGGUAUCAAACAGGAUUAGAUACCCUGGUAGUCCACACGGUAAACGAUGAAUACUCGCUGUUUGCGAUAUACUGCAAGCG